UGGUGGAGUGAUUUGUCUGGUUAGUUCCGUUAACGAACGAGACCUUAGCCUGCUAAAUAGUUACGUGUAACUUCGGUUAUGCGGGCAACUUCUUAGAGGGACUUUGUGUGUCUAACGCAAGGAAGUUUGAGGCAAUAACA
rnacentral:rRNA from 1 species